rnacentral:lncRNA from 1 species
UAUCAUGACCUCUACUUAUCCUAGGCAGCCUUAGUACAAAGUCCAUAGAGAUGUCUACCCACGAGGCAGUGGGUAUAGGUAGCGUGGUGUAUAAACCAUAAGGCAUCAUUCUAGAUUUGGCUUGCUUACAUGUGAUACACUGGCUAUAGAUACACUCGACAUCCCUCAUAUUUAGUCAAUAGAAGUGUUCUUAUAUCAUGUCUAGGAUUUGUGCUACCCCAAAAUGUCCGAUGAGUCCCCCACUAUGCGCUUCCCAUACUAAUAGUUUCUUGAUGGAACAACUUGGUAUACAGAGUCUGUUUUCCCUUUAGGAGAAAUCCAUUACUCUGGUGAUACUUUUGGAAAGCAUAGUGCUCACUAGCUUUAUAAACAAAGAAAAAAUCUUUAUCAUUGACGUACAUCUCCUUUAUGUGCUCAAACACUAAUAAUUUAGAGCUUAAGUAAGGGAAAGACAACAUUCUUGCAGAUGUAUUAUCUCGAAGGUAUGUACUCCUAUCAAUAUAAGGGAACGUUUAUAUGAACUAUGCCAACUUAUCGUGUCAGUGGUUGAGCUGACCUUGGCCCUUUAAAUGCUUAAGGGAUU